CAACUCGUCCCUGAUGUGUGCAGGUCACAGCUGUUUGGGAUGUCAGAUCCUUAAUCUGCUGAGUGGGGCCAGAGAUCAAACCUACAUCCUUAUGGUUACCAGUUGGGUUCAUUAUUGCUGAGCCACAACAGGAACUCCUUGAUUUCUUUUAACGGUGGACUUCAGUGAGUAGGGGAGGCAGGGAAUACUCAUGUGAAGAACCCUGUGGAGUGCGGCAGACUGAUCCCUGAACUUUCACUGCAGGCAUCCUCAGCCCUGGCUUCCUACAUAGCUUUCUUUUACUGAACGUACAGAAAGCUGUGGCUUUUCCUGCCAAGAUAGGGGCCUGGAAGUGCCUGAAAAGAGGCAUUUUCUGAUACAGUAAAAUAGGGUUUUAGCUAACCAUCCUCUCUCCUGUUUGGGCCCCUGAACAGUCUAGGAACUUCCUGGAAGUGUAUGAAGGGAGGCAGAAUAGGGUCACCCUGUAAGACUGGCUGGUCAUCCACAGAGACUCCCGCUGGUGUCACCUCACCUCAGAGCUUAGUCUGACUGGCCCUCAGCCUUGUCUGGCUCAAGAUCUGAUCUAUUAACACACAAAGAGUGGAUCAGCUCUCUGGGAGCUAACUCUUUAACCCAACUCUCAGAUACUGAUGUAUGUGCAGGCGUAUUUUGAUCUCCUAACCAAUGUGGUUUUUUUUCUGUUUCCUGUUGCUCUGUAACCUUCCCUCCCUUUGAGAUGGCUGCACCCUGAGACAUCUUUCACCUCAAGGCAAGCCUGUAGAGCAGAUUGCAGAGGCCAGAAGACUAAGGACUUAGCUCAACCUGAGUUAGUGUCUUCCCCCGCCCCAGACUGGAUCAAGUUUUCUCAGACUGAGAAAUGCAGGGCCCCAGGCACCUGGGAGGGUCUGCCCUUGCCCCUUGGUGGCAUCUAAUGUUGAAGACGGAAUGAGAAGAUCAGCUCUCUUUUCUUUUCUUUUUAGGGCCACACCCAAGGCAUAUGGAAGUUCUUCUUGCCCUUGCCCACCUUCAUGACUGAGAGUGCAGCAAAAAAUGGCAAAGAAAAAACAUCAUACAUCAUAAGACGUUGAAAGACUGCAGAAAAAAGGGAAAAGCUUUUUUCCUUUUUUUAUGAAAAAGGGGCCCCACAUUUUCAUUUCACACUGGGCCCUGCAAAUAUGUAGUUAGUUGAACCUGCUGGCAGAUAAAGAAUUCCUGAAGGAGUUAGCCAAAGUCUAAGAAUAUUCUGGGGGUUUUGUGGCUUAAGUACUAAUGUCAGUUAGCUCUGCCCAAAUUUGGAACAAUGUUGGGGCUAUUUCAAGCCCUGUGAAAUGUCAACAAUAGUGGUAAAGGACUAUUGGCAAACCAAAUAUGAAGAGACUGCACAUAUGAUAAGUAAAAAAUCAACUUGCUAGAAGGUAUUGGUGGAUUUUCAGCUUUAUUUGUAAGAGGAAGAAGAUGGAUAGAAAAGACUGUCUGGUUGCUCCUCUUGAAGCCAGCUUUUUUACCCUGAUAAUCUAGGAUCAGAUCUGAGGAUCAAAACUUCAGAGAAUCUUGAUUUGAAAAGAGAGUUGAGGAGUUCCCGUCGUGGCACAACAGAAGUGAAUGUGACCAGGAAACACGAGGUUUCGGGUUCAGUCCCUGGCCUCGCUUCGUGGGUUAAGAAUCCGGUGUUGCUGUGAGCUGUGGUGUAGGUCACAGACUUGGCUUGGAUCCUGCAUUGCUGUGGCUGUGGUGUAGGACAGCGGUUACAGUUCCAAUUAGACCCCUACCCUGGAACUUCCAUAUGCCUCGGGUGCAGCCCUAAAAAGCAAAAAAAAAAAAAAAAACAAAAAAACAAAAAAAAAAA
rnacentral:lncRNA from 1 species